UAAUACGGAGGAUGCGAGCGUUAUCCGGAUUUAUUGGGUUUAAAGGGUGCGUAGGCGGUCUGAUAAGUCAGUGGUGAAAGUUUUCAGCUUAACUGGAAAAAUGCCGUUGAUACUGUCAGGCUAGAAUAUGGUUGCUGUGAGUGGAAUGUGUGGUGUAGCGGUGAAAUGCUUAGAUAUCACACAGAAUAUCGAUUGCGAAGGCAGCUCACAAAGCCAUUAUUGACGCUGAGGCACGAAAGUGUGGGGAUCAAACAGGAUUAGAUACCCUGGUAGUCCACACUGUAAACGAUGAUAACUAGUUGUUGGCGAUACACAGUCAGUGACCAAGCGAAAGCGAUAAGUUAUCCACCUGGGGAGUACGACCGCAAGGUUGAAACUCAAAGGAAUUGACGGGGGCCCGCACAAGCGGAGGAACAUGUGGUUUAAUUCGAUGAUACGCGAGGAACCUUACCCGGGCUCGAACGGUGCAGGAAUAUGGUAGAGAUAUCAUAGCUAGCAAUAGUCUGUAUCGAGGUGCUGCAUGGUUGUCGUCAGCUCGUGCCGUGAGGUGUCGGCUUAAGUGCCAUAACGAGCGCAACCCUUGUCGUUAGUUGCCAUCAGGUCAAGCUGGGAACUCUAACGAGACUGCCACCGUAAGGUGUGAGGAAGGGGGGGAUGACGUCAAAUCAGCACGGCCCUUACGUCCGGGGCGACACACGUGUUACAAUGGUAGGUACAGAGGGCCGCUAACCAGCGAUGGUGUGCAAAUCUCAAAAACCUAUCUCAGUUCGGAUCGGAGUCUGCAACUCGACUCCGUGAAGUUGGAUUCGCUAGUAAUCGCGCAUCAGCCAUGGCGCGGUGAAUACGUUCCCGGGCCUUGUACACACCGCCCGUCAAGCCAUGGAAGCUGGGGGUGCCUGA
rnacentral:rRNA from 1 species